rnacentral:rRNA from 1 species
AUUGAACGCUGGAGGCAGGCCUAACACAUGCAAGUCGAACGCGUGGCGGACGGGUGAGUAAUGUCUGGGAAACUGCCUGAUGGAGGGGGCUAACUACUGGAAACGGUCGCUAAUCCCGCAUACCAUCAGAUGUGCCCAGAUGGGAUUGGCUAGUUGGUGGGGUAACGGCUCACCUAGGCGACGAUCCCUAGCUGGUCUGAGAGGAUGACCAGCCACACUGGAACUGAGACACGGUCCAGACGCCUACGGGAGGCAGCAGUGGGGAAUAUUGCACAAUGGGCGCAAGCCUGAUGCAGCCAUGCCGCGUGUAUGAAGAAGGCCUUCGGGUUGUAAAGUACUUUCAGUCGGGAGGCGUUACCCGCAGAAGAAGCACCGGCUAACUCCGUGCCAGCAGCCGCGGUAAUUC